rnacentral:rRNA from 1 species
GAUCAAGUGCCUUAAGAGCAUUCGGUGGAUGCCUUGGCGCUGAGAGGCGAUGAAGGACGUGAUACGCUGCGAUAAGCCGUGGGGAGCUGCGAAUGAGCUUUGAUCCGCGGAUUUCCGAAUGGGGAAACCCACCUUCGACAAUUCGUAUUGUAGGGCCAGCGCGAGCUGGUUCUGCACUACGAAUUGUCACAUGAGGGUAUUGAGACCUGAAUACAUAGGGUUUCAAAGCUAACCCAGGGAACUGAAACAUCUAAGUACCUGGAGGAAAGGACAUCAACGAGACUCCGUUAGUAGUGGCGAGCGAACGCGGACCAGGCCAGUGCUUGUCUGAGAGUUACCGGAAGCGGUUGGGAAACCGCGCAUCAAUGGGUGAUAGCCCCGUACGGAUCUGCGACCAGACGAGACAUGAGUAAGGCGGGACACGUGAAAUCCUGUCUGAACGUGGGGGGACCACCCUCCAAGCCUAAGUACUCCUCAGCGACCGAUAGUGAACAAGUACCGUGAGGGAAAGGUGAAAAGCACCCCGACGAGGGGAGUGAAACAGCACCUGAAACCGAAUGCUUACAAACAGUGGGAGCUCAAGGUUCGUCCUGGGUGACCGCGUACCUUUUGUAUAAUGGGUCAGCGACUUAAUCUGACGAGCAAGCUUAAGCCGAUAGGCGUAGGCGCAGCGAAAGCGAGUCUGAACAGGGCGUUCAGUUCGUCGGAUUAGACCCGAAACCGGGUGAUCUAGCCAUGAGCAGGUUGAAGGUAAGGUAACACUUACUGGAGGACCGAACCGGUGCCUGUUGAAAAAGUCUCGGAUGACUUGUGGCUAGGGGUGAAAGGCCAAUCAAACUCGGAAAUAGCUGGUUCUCCGCGAAAGCUAUUUAGGUAGCGCCUCGCGUGAAUACUCCGGGGGGUAGAGCACUGGAUGGGCAAGGGGUGCUUACCGCAUUACCGAUCCUAACCAAACUCCGAAUACCCGGAAGUACUGCGCGGGAGACACACGGCGGGUGCUAACGUCCGUCGUGGAGAGGGAAACAACCCUGACUUACAGCUAAGGCCCCUAAUUCGUGGCUAAGUGGGAAAGGAUGUGGGAAUCCCAAAACAACCAGGAGGUUGGCUUAGAAGCAGCCAUCCUUUAAAGAAAGCGUAACAGCUCACUGGUCUAAACAAGGGUUCCUGCGCCGAAAAUGUAUCGGGUCUCAAGCCACGAGCCGAAGCUUAAGGUUUGCACUGUGUGCAAGCGGUAGCGGAGCGUUCCAUAAGCCGACGAAGGCGGACCCGUGAGGGCUGCUGGAGGUAUUGGAAGUGCGAAUGCUGACAUGAGUAACGACAAACAGUGUGAAAGACACUGUCGCCGAAAGUCCAAGGGUUCCUGCGUAAAGUUAAUCUCCGCAGGGUUAGCCGGCCCCUAAGGCGAGGCCGAAAGGCGUAGUCGAUGGGAAUGAGGUGAAUAUUCCUCAGCCAGUUGGUAGUGACGGAUCGCGUACGCUGUCGGGUCUUAUUGGAUUGACCCGGCUUCCAAGCGGUUCCUGGAAAUAGCUCCAACAUCAGACCGUACCCUAACCGACACAGGUGGACUGGUAGAGUAUACCAAGGCGCUUGAGAGAAUGAUGCUGAAGGAACUCGGCAAUUUACCUCCGUAACUUCGGGAUAAGGAGGCCUUCGGCUUGGGCAACCAGGUCGGAGGGGC